rnacentral:lncRNA from 1 species
UCCACUUAGGAGACUUGAUUGCACUCUAAUUUGCUAAAUUUUAUAUGCUUGGAAGAGAAAAAUCUGUAUUACAAAUGGAUACAAAACCAAAGUAUACAUGAGUGUGCCUCAUCCUUCCCACCAGGAAGCUCUAUUUAUGAGCAUCAUAUAGACUAUUUCCAGUUGGCAGCAAGGCAUGCACUAAUAGGCACACAAAAGGUUAACCUGUACAUGAUGUUUAUCUCUUAUAACAUCUAUAACUUUGCAAAGGAAAAACAAAA